UUACUGCCAAUUGGAAUACGUAAACUGCAUGGAAAAUUAUGACUUAUGGACAGUCGCUCACAUGGGAAUUUGCUACAACGUAUCGUCGUUCCAAACCUUCGCAUAUUAUGCAUAUGCCAUUUGGGAUGAUCAACAGUUGCAAGAAUUGUACGUAAUGCCUGCAAUAGGAUAAA